rnacentral:lncRNA from 1 species
CUUGCCAGUUUAACAACUCUGUUCACUGUUCCUAUUGCACAGUGAGCUCUUUGACGCAACAGAAAGAGCUGCCUUUUUUUUUAUUUGCUUCCUCUUAAAUCCGCCUGGCCAAUUUAAAGCUUGUGGAUAUAUUUUCCCCCUCAGGGAGAGCUUAUGAGGAUUUUCUUUUUUAACAGUUCGUUCUGUGAAACCAUUUUUUUUAUUGUUUGCUGUUAGAAAAUGUUGGAGCUGAACACAAGGCUUUCAUUGCAGGUCAGUGGAUGAACUCUUGACCAAAGCGUUUAACAUUCAAGUGCAGCUUUAGAAAGCACUGUAGUUUGGAAGGAAAAAGCAAGUUAGCGAGGUUGUAUCAUUUAAGCCCAUGUGUGCCUACUACUGGAAUAGAAAUCUUUUCAGAUCUUCAGUGACUGAGUGAGUUCUGCACAGAUGAAUUUGCCAUCUUUAUUUUGUAGACAAAUGUACCAAAUUAAUAUUUUAUUGAAAACAGUGAGAUGACAUCACAUUUCUGUCUAUAUUAUUUAGUUCCUGGAUGUCUACACUCCCUCAGCAUGUAAUAAAACUUACUGGAAAUUUUAAGAACAAAGUUUUUCCCUCUUUAUUUUGAAAGGAUUGUCUUUUUGAGUUAUUUUUUUUUUUCUUCUUUUCAACACACUUUACUGGAAAACAUGUUACUCCUGGGCACAUGCUGUCUGCAGGGAAGAUAGUUAUUUGCUAUUUUGUAUUUCUUCUUAGAUUUCUAUAAAGAGAACUAAGAAAGGAUGUAGACAUAUUGUUAAUGUCUCUCUCCAAGCUGUAUUUGAGCUUACACUUCAGGUUGCAUCUCUUGGAAAGAGGUUUUUCAUGAGCCUCCAUGAGAUACCUCUCUGAUGAAAGAAAUCUUCAUCAAACCACAUCUUUUGGAGCAUACCUCAGAUUCUCAGCUGUUGGGAACUGAUUUUAUGUUGGUGGAAUUACCCUCUGUCAGCUGAGCGUCAAGACAACCAGGAGUGCCCCUGCAAAACUUUCCUCCUCAGUAAGACUUUCCUACUUCUUGUAAGAGUUUUGUUUUCACCUUUAUUUUUUCUUUAAAAAAAAA